rnacentral:rRNA from 1 species
UACGGAGGGUGCGAGCGUUGUCCGGAAUCACUGGGCGUAAAGGGCGCGUAGGCGGUGCGAGAAGCGUGUGGUGAAAGUCCGGGGCUCAACCCCGGAUCUGCCGUGCCGACUGUCAAACUCGAGGACUGUAGAGGCAGACGGAAUUCCGGGUGUAGCGGUGGAAUGCGUAGAGAUCCGGAGGAAGACCGGUGGCGAAGGCGGUCUGCUGGGCAGUUUCUGACACUGAGGCGCGACAGCGUGGGGAGCAAACAGG